rnacentral:rRNA from 1 species
AUUGAGCGCUGGCGGCAGGCCUAACACAUGCGAGUCGAGCGGAUGAAGGGAGCUUGCUCCUGGAUUCAGCGGCGGACGGGUGAGUAAUGCCUAGGAAUCUGCCUGGUAGUGGGGGAUAACGUCCGGAAACGGGCGCUAAUACCGUAUACGUCCUGAGGGAGAAAGUGGGGGAUCUUCGGACCUCACGCUAUCAGAUGAGCCUAGGUCGGAUUAGCUAGUUGGUGGGGUAAAGGCCUACCAAGGCGACGAUCCGUAACUGGUCUGAGAGGAUGAUCAGUCACACUGGAACUGAGACACGGUCCAGACUCCUACGGGAGGCAGCAGUGGGGAAUAUUGGACAAUGGGCGAAAGCCUGAUCCAGCCAUGCCGCGUGUGUGAAGAAGGUCUUCGGAUUGUAAAGCACUUUAAGUUGGGAGGAAGGGCAGUAAGUUAAUACCUUGCUGUUUUGACGUUACCAACAGAAUAAGCACCGGCUAACUUCGUG